UACGGAGGAUCCGAGCGUUAUCAGGAUUUAUUGGGUUUAAAGGGUGCGCAGGUUGUUUGAUAAGUCAGUGGUGAAAGUCUGUCGCUUAACGGUAGGAUUGCCAUUGAUACUGUUAGACUUGAAUAUGGAUGAGGUAGGCGGAAUGUGUAGUGUAGCGGUGAAAUGCAUAGAUAUUACACAGAACACCGAUUGCGAAGGCAGCUUACUAAUCCAUCAUUGACGCUGAGGCACGAAAGCGUGGGGAUCAAACA
rnacentral:rRNA from 1 species